GCUGCAUAUCCUUAGAGCUUAGAACUGAGGCUACUGGCUAGCUGAUGAACCCACAAAUAUAGGUAGUGUGCUACAUGAGGGACAGGUCUUUCAUUAACACCACAAGUUUCUCUGGCCCAAUGAAGGGAGUUUGAUAGUAAUUCUUGCUAAAAAU
ensembl:snoRNA SNORA62 Small nucleolar RNA SNORA62/SNORA6 family